rnacentral:rRNA from 1 species
GUGCCAGCAGCCGCGGUAAUACCGGCAGCCCGAGUGAUGGCCGAUAUUAUUGGGCCUAAAGCGUCCGUAGCUGGCCGAACAAGUCCGUCGGGAAAUCCACCUGCUCAACAGGUGGGCGCCCGGUGGAAACUGCGCGGCUUGGGACCGGAAGGCGCGACGGGUACGUCCGGGGUAGGAGUGAAAUCCCGUAAUCCUGGACGGACCGCCGAUGGCGAAAGCACGUCGCGAAGACGGAUCCGACAGUGAGGGACGAAAGCUAGGGUCUCGAACCGGAUUAGAUACCCCGGUAGUCC